GCCUGGGCGACAGAAUGAGUCUCCAACUCAAAAAAAAAAAAAAUCAGUAUUCUAAUUGAUCACAACCAACUACUGAUUUCUUUGUUUCUUCUCUCCUCCCACUGCUUCACUUGACUAGCCUAUA
rnacentral:sRNA from 1 species